AGUGUUUAUCUCAUUUUCAGAGGAGGAAUAAUAAUUGGAUUUGAGGAAUAUGGAUGGGUGGAGGUCAGCUUCUGACAGGUGCGGAUCAUGGGUGGGUGGGGGAAUGCUGGCGGGGGGGAAGCGGUUUCGUCGAUGUGGUGGGGUUCACGGGCGCCAAUCAUGCGCCGGUUGCCGACUAAACGCGUGUCUACCACGCUCCCCUUCGGCUCCUUUUAUAUCGGCUCGGCUCACGGCUCCGUCAUUCACGUCUUCCGCUCGGCUCUUUUACGUCGUCGUUUCUUCUUUUUUUAUCUGUUUGGUUUGUUGAUCGGGAACGGGACGGUCAAGGGUUUGGUUGGUUGUGGGUUCCGCCGGUUAGAGUUCUGUCCGUUUCCGCAAUCACGAUUUGGACGAGAGGAAGUGUUGUAGAUAAGGUCUGCGCUUCUGUUAGGGGCCCACUAUACUUUUUAUUGG
rnacentral:lncRNA from 1 species